rnacentral:rRNA from 1 species
CACGUAGGUGGCAAGCGUUAUCCGGAUUUAUUGGGCGUAAAGGGAACGCAGGCGGUCUUUUAAGUCUGAUGUGAAAGCCUUCGGCUUAACCGGAGUAGUGCAUUGGAAACUGGGAGACUUGAGUGCAGAAGAGGAGAGUGGAACUCCAUGUGUAGCGGUGAAAUGCGUAGAUAUAUGGAAGAACACCAGUGGCGAAAGCGGCUCUCUGGUCUGUAACUGACGCUGAGGUUCGAAAGCGUGGGUAGCAAACAGG